rnacentral:lncRNA from 1 species
CAGUCACAGAAACACCUGGGCUAAAUACCUCUGUGCACUUCGGGUUGGCUCUGUGAAUUUGCAGGGUGCCCUGUAGCUUCCAAAUUUCUCAUUUCUCCACAGUCAACAGCUGCAGGUGUGCACAGCGGGAGCUGCUGAGGUCUGAUGAGGGGGCCUGUGAUGAGAGAUCUGAAUCUAGGAUGACACAUUUGUCUCCCCGGUGGCCGCACCCCACAUUAUGUCUGUUUACAGAGAGUGCAGGGGAGGUCUACCACUUCUGGCCCACCUGGUGGCUCACAGCAACCUGGGGAGAGAACAUAAGGCAGAGGACAUUCUGCACAAGAAGGCACCAUGUUGCAUGCUGAGUCAGGCAGGGGUGACUUUGGAGAGCAGCAGAAAGCAUAAGGCCACCUUAUCCUAAGGGAAUGCAGCAGAUUUUUCCAUGGAAGGAAUUCUUACCCCUAGCCCUCAGCUCACUGUGGAGACGGGAAAAUUAAACAGCCAGCAGAGCUUUGCCUCUGCCAACAACCGCUGACUCUUCAGACGUGCAAUUCGUGCAGCCUGUUUGUGGAAGGCUUGACUUGGCCAGGAAGAGCUCAACCCCUCUCCGUGGUCGGAAGAAAAAAUGCACAAGUCAGGUUAGUUUUUGCAUGUCAUUUGCAUACAUUAAUUUAAUCACACUGGGCUGGGGUUCCCUUCCUGCUCAGUGUGGUGGUUGCCCCUCAGAAGAUAUGUAAGUGAAUGGAUGGAUAGAACAUUCCAGAUCUUUGUUUCUCAAGCCUACACUCAAACCUGUAUGACAUAAGGCACAUCCCUGUAAGUCUAGAGUGGGGCCAUAUUGGCAUGGGAUUUCAUUGGCUUCCCGAAAAUUGGGUUCAUAGUAGCAAGGCAAGUGCAGGUGUAUCUUGAGAACAGUUUGUGGGAGUCAUGCUGUGCAAGUUUGCUUGUGUGGGAGAGUGAAGGCAGCUGGAUCAUUCUUUUUUUAGACACAGUGUUCUAUUUAAAGUCUCACAGUUUUUCAGGAAAUCCAACCCCUUUGUAGAUGUGACCUAGGGGAGCCAGCCACCCUUCUCAGCUCCCAUGGUGCUUCCGUCUUCUCUGCCUUCUCUGUGUCAUUCCUUUGAG